GUGCUGCAGAGAAUAAACAGUGAUUCUGAGAGUUCCUCUGCUAGCUCUUUUAGGACUCUGGGAUGGAGCUCAUUAGGCCCUGGAGGACCAUUUCUUUCAUGUCCUUUGCUCAUUCAUGAUUGAGGUGACCCAUCUUUCUGUGCACAGCAGGGCUGCUGGCUUGUUAGGCAAUUCAGGUAGUCAUCAGGCUAAAUCUUGAUUCCUAAUCUCAAAAAGAGGUACCAGUGUUUAGCUCCGCAAUGCAUUGUAAAGUAUAAAGGUCAGUGAGCCCUCAUGUGCCUCCCCCUUUGGCCAGCUGGACUUUAUGCUUUUCAAAAAAAUGUUACAAAUACGGAGACCAGAGGCAGGAGCAAUGCCCUCCUUCUGGAAGUUGCUGCCUCAACUACUUCACGAUAAGUUGUGCCUGCACUGGGUGUGUUGUCCAGAUCAUGUGUUGUAAAAUUUUCGUGCCUGCAGAAGUACUACCACUCUAUCAAAUGAGUACCCUUAACACUUC